rnacentral:rRNA from 1 species
UUGCAGUGGGUACGGGCAGACUAGAGUGUGGUAGGGGAGACUGGAAUUCCUGGUGUAGCGGUGAAAUGCGCAGAUAUCAGGAGGAACACCGAUGGCGAAGGCAGGUCUCUGGGCCACUACUGACGCUGAGAAGCGAAAGCAUGGGGAGCGAACAGGAUUAGAUACCCUGGUAGUCCAUGCCGUAAACGUUGGGCGCUAGGUGUGGGACUCAUUCCACGAGUUCCGUGCCGCAGCUAACGCAUUAAGCGCCCCGCCUGGGGAGUACGGCCGCAAGGCUAAAACUCAAAGGAAUUGACGGGGGCCCGCACAAGCGGCGGAGCAUGCGGAUUAAUUCGAUGCAACGCGAAGAACCUUACCAAGGCUUGACAUAUACCGGAAACUUCCAGAGAUGGUUGCCCCCUUUGGGUCGGUAUACAGGUGGUGCAUGGUUGUCGUCAGCUCGUGUCGUGAGAUGUUGGGUUAAGUCCCGCAACGAGCGCAACCCUCGUUCUAUGUUGCCAGCACGUAAUGGUGGGGACUCAUGGAAGACUGCCGGGGUCAACUCGGAGGAAGGUGGGGAUGACGUCAAAUCAUCAUGCCCCUUAUGUCUUGGGCUUCACGCAUGCUACAAUGGCCGGUACAAAGGGCUGCGAUACCGCAAGGUGGAGCGAAUCCCAAAAAACCGGUCUCAGUUCGGAUUGGGGUCUGCAACUCGACCCCAUGAAGUCGGAGUCGCUAGUAAUCGCAGAUCAGCAACGCUGCGGUGAAUACGUUCCCGGGCCUUGUACACACCGCCCGUCAAGUCACGAAAGUCGGUAACACCCGAAGCCGGUGGCCCAACCCUUGUGGGGGGAGCCGUCGAAGGUGGGACUGGCGAUUGGGACUAAGUCGUAACAAGGGUAACCG